UACGUAGGGUGCAAGCGUUGAUCCGGAUUACUGGGCGUAAAGAGCGCGCAGGCGGUCGUUCAAGUCGCGUGUGAAAGCCCCCGGCUCAACUGGGGAGGGUCACGCGAUACUGAUCGACUCGAAGGCAGGAGAGGGUAGUGGAAUUCCCGUGUAGUGGUGAAAUGCGCAGAUAUCGGGAGGAACACCAGUGGCGAAGGCGGCACUCUGGGCCGGUAUGACGCUGAGGAGCGAAAGCGUGGGGAGCGAACAGG
rnacentral:rRNA from 1 species